rnacentral:rRNA from 1 species
UACGUAGGGGGCAAGCGUUGUCCGGAAUUAUUGGGCGUAAAGAGCGCGUAGGCGGUCCGAUAAGUCGGCUGUGAAAGUCAGGGGCUCAACCCUUGGAAGCCGGCCGAUACUGUCGGACUAGAGUCCGGAAGAGGCGAGUGGAAUUCCCGGUGUAGCGGUGAAAUGCGCAGAUAUCGGGAGGAACACCAAUGGCGAAGGCAGCUCGCUGGGACGGUACUGACGCUGAGGCGUGAAAGCGUGGGGAGCAAACAGG